CACCCGGUAGUUCAGUGGUUAGAGCAGUGGCUUGACAAGCCAGAGGACCGGGGUUGGAUUCCCCGGCCGGGUGG